GAUGAACGCUGGCGGCGUGCCUAAUACAUGCAAGUCGAGCGAACAGACGAGGAGCUUGCUCCUCUGACGUUAGCGGCGGACGGGUGAGUAACACGUGGAUAACCUACCUAUAAGACUGGGAUAACUUCGGGAAACCGGAGCUAAUACCGGAUAAUAUAUUGAACCGCAUGGUUCAAUAGUGAAAGACGGUUUUGCUGUCAAUUAUAGAUGGAUCCGCGCCGCAUUAGCUAGUUGGUAAGGUAACGGCUUACCAAGGCAACGAUGCGUAGCCGACCUGAGAGGGCGAUCGGCCACACUGGAACUGAGACACGGUCCAGACUCCUACGGGAGGCAGCAGUAGGGAAUCUUCCGCAAUGGGCGAAAGCCUGACGGAGCAACGCCGCGUGAGUGAUGAAGGUCUUCGGAUCGUAAAACUCUGUUAUUAGGGAAGAACAAAUGUGUAAGUAACUAUGCACGUCUUGACGGUACCUAAUCAGAGAGCCACGGCUAACUACGUGCCAGCAGCCGCCGUAA
rnacentral:rRNA from 1 species